UACGAAGGGGGCUAGCGUUGCUCGGAAUCACUGGGCGUAAAGGGCGCGUAGGCGGCCUUCUAAGUCGAACGUGAAAUCCCCGGGCUCAACCCGGGAACUGCGUCCGAUACUGGAAGGCUUGAAUCCGGGAGAGGGAUGCGGAAUUCCAGGUGUAGCGGUGAAAUGACGUAGAUAUGGGGAGGAACACCGGUGGCGAAGGCGGCCAUCUGGACGGAUACUGACGCUGAGACGCGAAAGCGUGGGUAGCAAACAGG
rnacentral:rRNA from 1 species